CUUCAGGAAGUGUCUUUUGAACUUUUGGCAAGUGAAUAUCCCUGUGUUGAAAAGAUGAGCUUUGUGUUGCUGUGCGUGAUGCUGGUAGCCAGUGUGACACCUGUGUCUGCUGCAGCACAGCCAGGUAUCAUAGAGAGCCUACUAUUGGCCACCAAUGAGCGUCCCUGGCUCUGGGGGGUCUAUGUCUUCACUGUUGGACUUCCU